rnacentral:rRNA from 1 species
UACGUAGGGGGCUAGCGUUGUCCGGAUUUAUUGGGCGUAAAGAGCGUGUAGGCGGCCAGGUAGGUCUGCUGUGAAAACUCGAGGCUCAACCUCGAGACGUCGGCGGAAACCAUCUGGCUAGAGUCCAGAAGAGGAGAGUGGAAUUCCUGGUGUAGCGGUGAAAUGCGCAGAUAUCGGGAGGAACACCUAUGGCGAAGGCAGCUCGCUGGGACGUUACUGACGCUGAGACGCGAAAGCGUGGGGAGCAAACAGG